AUAAAUUUAAUUUAGGGAAAUGGAAGAGGAUAACCAGAUGUUAGCCAACGCGCUUGAUAAUUUCCAAAAGAAAAAUCGUUCGGGGAAAUCAACAAAGGUGAAAUCAAAAAAGGAGAAGGGGAAGGGUGUAGCGUGUAAACUUUGUGGGUUCCUUUCCCGAAGUAAAAGAGAAUUACUGCUUCACAAGCGCCAGCAUCGAACAGGUGAUGCCGCUACACAUCCGUCCACCUCCUCUGUCUGUUCCGUUCCCGACUCGCCCGGACCGUCCACCUCCUCUGGCCGUUAUGUUCCGGACGACUCUGGUCCGUCCACCUCCUCCGCCAAUAUUGCUUCAACCGAAACAAGACCUACAUUUAGAUGUAGGACAUGCGGAGAAAUAACGAACAAUAGACGGGAAUUAUACCUUCAUCAAAGACUCCGCCAUCAACAUGGGGAAGGAUUUUCAGAUCUUCAAUUUCCAUGGGAAGAAAAUGGAGACCCUGCACCAUGGGCGGGUGAUGAAAAUUUAGAAAGAACCUAUAAAGCAAAUAGAAAUUUCAUUUUGGGAAAAGGCGAACAAAGUUCAGUCCAAAAAUCGGUAAACGUUUCCAUUCAAAAUGUUACAACUGAAAACUUGAUUGAAAUUAUUCAAAAUUCUUCUCAUUCCGAGGACCGGGCCUUUAGAUUAAAUUUAUCUUUCGGCUUUAUUCUUAGAAACAUUGAAACUGGAGAUUAUAGAUAUUUUAUACCUGACAGAAAUGAAUCAGUUUUUGAUCGCCCGGUCCUCAUUAACAACAUGUCUGAAAUCCAGAAAAAAUUACGCCUUAGACUAAAUUCAUUAAACAUAUUGGAAUAUUUAUUAAGACAAAGGCCAAACAGUAAAUGGCAGGUAGUACAAAUUACGAAUGUCAAAAUUUAUUUCUUCCGCACGAAAUUUUUAUUCAGUUAAAGUUUAGAGAUCAAAAUAUUUAUUUUUUAAUUUGUAUAUAUUGUUAUUUAAGUUGUUACCGAUUUUUUAACUGUAUGCUUUGUUCGUCUUGGGGGAAGGAGAGCGGUACUCUCUAAUGUACCGACAAAGAGACCGCUUUGCUCGUCUCGCAGACAUCAUACGGCCAGCGACCCGAACUCUACAGCUGGAAUAAACAAGUGUCUGGGUAGCGCAAUAUACAAGUGUCUGGGUAGCGCUAGUAUAUAAGUCCAGCCGGUUCAGCACCGUUAUUCCAGUCCAGAAGCUCAAGAGACAGAGAUGCAGAAGAUGAUGUUGGCGAUUUUAGUUUUAACCAUUGUACCAAUUGUUAGUCCAUGCAGUAUUGCAAGUGGGACUUUGCACUGUACUAACUUGCAACGUGCAGUUUCAACUUUGCAAAGAGGCAUCAGCAUUUCCAUCAUGACCAUCGACAAUGCAGCAACCACGGGACAGUUGAUUGAUUUAAGCAGAUUCCCCAGACUACAGAAGAUCCAGAUUCUAAAUACAGACUUGACGUGUGAUGAUUUCAAACUGACGAGGGGAACAACGCUUAUGUUAAAAGACAAAUUUUGCGAGUAUUCCGGUACGACAGAAGCUAGCUACCACACAACAAAAUCGUUUGCAUCUGUCCUUACCGAGUCUGCAGCGGUGGCAUUCAACAGUCCCUGGAUCAUUGCUACGGGGAUCCUGACAGGAAUUGUAGUGAUAUGUGUUCUAUGCGGAACUGUUCUGUUGAUUAGAAGACUUUUCCGAAAGAGAAAUUCUCUAAUUCGUAUUGACACAGAAUCUGUGCAAGAAUUUAAUGUUCAGGAGUUUAGCAUCAUGAGAGAAUUUAAAUCGGACUGAUUUCUUCAUUGUAGUACUCUUUGUGAUGGUAAAAUUACUGUUAGCUGUUUGUGAUCGAGGAGAGUCCUUGUCUGCGCCUACUGAACAUCAGAGAACCCCGCCGCCGCAGCCAGUCCGCGCAAUCCGCCGCUCAACGAGAGUCCGAAGAGUGCCACAGCGAUACGGACAUUAAUCAAAUUUGAGUGUGUUUGUGGACUUUUGUAAAUAUUAGUGCUGUUUCCCUGUAAAUUAUUUGUUCUUUUAUUCAUGUUAUAUUAUUAUAUUUUCCAUGUACAUACUUAGAGCAGGUUUAAAACGAAACAAUGAAUAACGAGUAAAUGGUUUGUGACAGUAUGUAACAACACACAAAUAAAUUGAUAAUACGUUUGAUUUUUUUUUAUUCUUAAUUUUCUAUU